CUGUUUAACUUUCUGGCACCAGUUGAUUUAAAAAAAAAAAAGUUAUUCACUGGAGUACCCCUUUAACUUCUGUGGGAUUAACCCCUUAAGGACGCAGCCCUUUUUCGCAAUUCUGACCACUGUAACUUUAAGUAUUAAUAACUCUAAGAUGCUUUUACCGAUUAUUCUGAUUCUGAGAUCGUCUUUUCGUGACAUAUUCUACUUUAUUUUAGUGGUAAAUUUUCGUCGCUACUUGCAUCCUUUCUUGGUGAAAAAUCCCAAAAUUUCAUGUAAAUUUUGAAAAUGUUGCAUUUUUCUAACUUUGAAACUUUCUGCUUGUAAGGAAAAUGGACAUUCCAAAUAAUUUUAUAUUGGUUCACAAAUACAAUAUGUCCACUCUAUGUUGGCAUCAUAAAAUGGACAUAUUUUUACUUUUUGAAAAAAUUAGAGGGCUUCAAAGUAUAACAGCAAUUUUCAAAAUUUUCAUGAAAAUUACAAAAUCUGAAGGGACAGAUGUUACGGCACUACUGAAAGGAUCUGCAACUCCUCACUAUAUACCCCUGGCAUAUAGCGCCUUAGUUCUAACUUUAUUGCAUUACACUCUAACUUUAUUGCAUUAAGCAUCAGUAUAAAAAGGGCAAAAGGGCGUAUUUACAUUGACCAAUUAAAAUGUGGCAAUGAGCAAAAAGCGUAUUUACAUUGACCAAUAAAAAUGUGGACACAUCUAAAAGGUGAUAUCAUUGUUUUGAUUUUACACACUUCUUCCCAGGGUACAUAGCGCCAAUUAGCAGAUAGUGAAAUUAUUUAGCAAGCAACUUUAGUUACAGGAAAUGUAACUUAUUAGGAACACGACCUUGAGGAGACUGAGAACGAGAAGAAGGAGAUAAGAAAGAAAGAGAAUAAAACAAUAAUAAAGGAGAACUCUAGUGCAGCCUUUCACUAACUACAACUCACAGCAUGCCCUGAUACAACCUUUCACUAAUUACAACUCACAGCAUGCCCUAAUACAACCUUUCACUAACUACAACUCACAGCAUGCCCUGAUACAACCUUUCACUAACUACAACUCACAGCAUGCCCUGAUACAACCUUUCACUAACUACAACUCACAGCAUGCCCUGAUACAACCUUUCACUAACUACAACUCACAGCAUGCCCUGAUACAACCUUUCACUAACUACAACUCACAGCAUGCCCUGAUACAACCUUUCACUAACUACAACUCACAGCAUGCCCUGAUACAACCUUUCACUAACUACAACUCACAGCAUGCCCUGAUACAACCUUUCACUAACUACAACUCACAGCAUGCCCUGAUACAACCUUUCACUAACUACAACUCACAGCAUGCCCUGAUACAACCUUUCACUAACUACAACUCACAGCAUGCCCUGAUACAACCUUUCACUAACUACAACUCACAGCAUGCCCUGAUACAACCUUUCACUAACUACAACUCACAGCAUGCCCUGAUACAACCUUUCAAUCCCCUCUUAGAACCAUAAUUUUUUCAAAUAACAUGGUUCUAUUUCCGAUUGUUCUUAUAAUGCUUCACAUAUGAUUUGUAAGCUUAUGGAGAGCGUCCUGUGGGAAGGGAUUGAUACAUAGAAAGAUCGCUUACACUCUUAGAAAGGAUUUUUCAGAAACAGGGGAGGACACACAUGGCAAUGAAAGCAACAAUCAACAGUACUAUACCUAUCACUGUAAACACUUACUAUAGUAGGACAUGUGUACAUUAGGCAGGGGGGGGGGGGGUGGAUAAGCCAGGAAACAACACUCGAGGAUGUGGAGUUAUACCAUAGAACAGGCAUCCCCCCCUCCCAAGUGUUGCCUACUUGCCCCUGAGUGCAGCUAAUGGUCAAUAAAGUCAAUAUGGUUAUUGACCAUGAUGGGAGCGCCAGGCAGUGUUGUUUCUACAUGGUUCCGGAACUCUUCAAACUUCGCUAGGAGAUGGAGGUCAGGGCUGUCUGCCCCCGUUAGUACCUCUGGUUGGGUCUUCAGGUCAGGGCUGUCUGCCCCCGUUAUUACCCCUUUCACUGCUUUCUUCUGGUACAGCUUGAUCCUAGUGGCGUGGAUCCAGGUAGGGGAAUCGUCGGUGAGUACAGCUGUGCGGGUUACUGCUACCACAGAGGUCGGGGGACCAUAGGAAAAGUCAGCCUGGGACUUCUUUCUUCGCAGUUCUUUGACCAGUACUAGGUAUCCUACUUCGAAGGAAUGAGUUGGUUCCUGUGAAGAAAGAGGAGACUUCAAAGAGAUUUUGUUCUCAAUGUCUGACAGAUUUUGAAUAAGUUGUGUGACAUAUUGGUUCCUGAUUUGGUCUCGGUCACCUUCUGGAGUCACCAAAGGUUUCUUUGCCCAAGGUGUGGGGAAGGGUCUACCCAUGAGGAUUUCAAAAGGAGACAGGCCAAGGGUCUUAUGUGGGGUCAUUCUAAUUUCAGCUAAUAUGAUGGGAAGUAUUUUAUUUAUUUUAUAAUGUUCCCCCUGUUGCUUCCUAGAACUCUGAAGGGUGGUAGGGGAUAUGGAAUUUCCACUCUACCAGAAGGAUUUUUUGAGUUUAGAGGUGAAAGCUGGACCAUGAUCAGACUUGAUUACAAGUGGAAAUCCCCAUUGGGGGGGGAUGAUGUGUUGUGUGAGUAUGUGUGCAGUGGUUUUAUGUGUGCAGUGGUUCUUGAAUCUUCUCUCUUGGUAGGGAAUACUUCAGGCCAUCUGGAGAACAUGUCCACGAUAACCAGGGCAUACUCUUGCUUACCCUUUCCCUUUGGUAUGUGGGUGUAGUCAAUUGGUUGGUCAGUGAAAGGUGUUGUAGGGUACUGCAGGUGUUGGUGUUGUACAUAGUGGUGUGUACUGGGGUUGUUCCUGAGACAUACGAGGCAACGUUUGAUGUAGUCGUCUACCAGUUGUUUAGAUGUAAAAGUGUUGGGAGAGGAGGGUGUGUGUGGUAGAGAUGCUGUUGUGGCCUACUUCAUGGAAAUGAGCAAUAAAGACUGGGGAACUGUGUCGGGGUAUGCAUGGUCUCCCCUCUUUGUAGAUCAAUCCUGUUUCAGGAUUUCUCUGCAAUACCGGAUAACACCGAUCAUAUUCCUCUUGUUCGGGAACAGAGGACUGGAGAGAGAGAAGUUUUGUGUCUUCGAGUGAAGGAGGUGUAAGAACUGGUAACAUCAGUGAGACAGGUUGUUGUGUAGCAGCCAGUUUGGCAGUGUGGUCUGCUAGAGCAUUGUCCUUUGAAAUGUGAUCAGUCCCACGUGUGUGUGUCCUGCAGUGAAUGAUGACUAAUUGUGAUGGUAGGGUAAGUGCAUGUAAAUGGUGACAGGUUUAUUAGCAAAAAGUGUACAGGCUCUUGUGAGGGCGAUGAGUUCUGCAGCUUGUGUGGACUUAUAGGGGAUGGACUGGGCCUUGAGGACAAUGUCAGGAAAUUGGACAAUAGCAUAACUGGCAAGGUAAACAUUGUCAUUGGGGCGGGUGCAUGACCCAUCUACAAAGACUUCUAGAGCAUCAGGUAUGGGCACUGAGGAGAGGUCGGGCCAGGGUGAGGUGUCAGUGUGGAUGACUUGCAAGCAGUCAUGUAUGUCCGGCAUUACAUCAUCAUGAUUUUUCAGGCCAAUUAGUGCGUUGAGUAUUGGAGCAUGGCCAGAUGUAGUGGAGGCAUACACAAUUUUCAAGGAUGGAUUACUGAGUAAAAUUACCUCAUAUCCAGAGAGCCGUUGUGUAUGUAGGCCGUUAAGGAGAGAGAUAACAUCAUGAGAAGUGUACAAGGUAGUGUAAUGUCCUAAAGUGAGGAUGGUAGCUUGUUCAACAAUCAUAGCACAGGCAGCAAGAGCUCGCAGACAUGCCUGCAUCCCCUGUACGGAGACGGGCAUCACCUUUGAGAAAAAACCAAAAGGAUGCAGUUUGCCUCCGUGAAAUUGUGUCAACACACCCGCCAUGGUUUUACAAUUGUCUCGUGCAUACAUAUGGAAAGUAAAAUUAUAAUCUGGGAGGCCUAGCCCUGGAAUUGUCAUUAAUGUACAUUUCAAGUAAUCAAAAGCUUUGUACAUGUCGGAGGACCAUUUGAUUAGAUCUAGUUUGUCUGACAGGGUAGCAUGAGCAGUCAGGAAUCCACUGUCUGCAGUAGUUUAUCAUACCCAGAAAAGAUUGCAUUUCCUUUCGGGUGCGCGGGGUGACCAGGUCCGCUACAGACUGGACUCUAGACGUACUCAACUCCCUUUUCCCUUUUGGCAGAACAAAUCCCAGAUUUUCAACCUGUUCACAACACCCUCCUCAAGGCAGGCCUCCUCAGAGAAACUACACAGUAACAAAUCAUCAACAUCUUGGAGGAGAACAGAACCCCGGGGGGGCAUGCCAUGAUUUUAAAGUGAUUUGGAGGACAAUGCUGAACACAACAGGUGAAUCAGCAUACCCCUGGGGCAUUCUACACCAGGUUAACUGUAGUCCCUCAAAGGAAAAAGCAAAAAGGAGUCUGGUCUCUUUGUCCACUGGGAUCGAGAAGAAAGCAUUCUUCAGAUCGAGGACAGAAAAAUGAGUUGCCUGUGCUGGGAUUGAUGACAACAGUUGGGUGACAUCAGGAACUAUAGGGGCAAUAGGCACAAUUAGUCUGUUGAUGAUUCUCAGGUCUUGUACAAAACAGACAGUACCAUCGGGUUUAGGGACCGGAUUAAUUGGAGUGCAGUAGGGAGAGACAGUAUGUUCUAAAACUCAAGUGUGUAGGAAAUGUUUGAUCAUAGGGCGGAUACCUUCGAUUUUUAUUUUAUUUUAUUUUUUUAGAUGACAAGGGGUACUGUUUUUGGUAGACCGGGAGGAUGUCUGGUUUGAGUCUUGCCUUGUAUGGUGUACAGUCAAUGUGUCCCACA